CUCCUGGACACCCCCCUAAGGGUCUCGGUCUCGGGAAGGGGCGCGGAGUCCCCCCGGCGAUGGAUUUUUGCCGGCCAAACGAAGGUUUUUAGCUGGGAAAAAUCGCCAGCCGGAAGCCGCCGGUUAAACUUUUCCAGUGGCUCUGAAGAAUCCGACCAACUUCAGCAGAGGAACAGAGCCCACCCUGCAGCGUCUGAGCGCUAACAACACCUGUCCCAGAAAUUCCCUCUCUGCUUCUCCUCAAAAAAAAAAAAAAAAAAAAC